rnacentral:tRNA from 1 species
GACCUCGUAGCUGAGCCGGUAGAGCGUGCGCGUUCAAAGCGUAAACGGCGUACAUGUGUGGGUUAGAAUCCCACCGAGGCUA